GGAUAUAUAAAAAUUGCUGGAGUGGAGAGAGCGCGCUCCGACUGAAGCCUCCGUCCGCCAUCUUACCAGAGGCAGAAAGCGCGCUCGGCGCCGGCGGCACCGGCUCUCGCUGCUGUUUUCGUGAGUUGGUAUGCAGUGCAAUUUGAUGUGAGGGGCAUGUAAACACCAUCGAUUUGAUUAUGGUUGCCUCUUGCGUUGCCUACGGAUGUGCGAACAGGCUGAAGAAGCGUUGUGGCCUCACGUUUCACCUGUUUCCAAAAGAUCCGGAGCUGCGGAGCCUGUGGGAGCGGGCUGUUCGCCGUGAAAGGUGGCAUGCGAAAGAUGGAGAUCGCCUUUGCUGUGUGCAUUUCGCGCCGGAGUGCUUCGACCGCACCGGACAGACAACACGACUGCGUGCGGAUAGUGUUCCUUCUGUGUUCCCUGCGUUUCCGGAGCAUCUACAGAAGCCCGUGAAAUGGAAGCGUCCAGGCCGCAAGCAUGAAGACUGGUUCCAGAAACUGGAGGACCACAUCCUUGAUCUUGAUCCACUUGAUAACCAUAUUUAUAUUUUUUGCAAGAAAAUCGCUGAAGAAUAUAUAAAAGUGAGAAUACACCACAUGACGAAAGAACGAAACUGUGAACUGAUCAAAAACAAAGUGAGACCACUUUUGUCGAGGGUGAUUAUUUUCAAUCACCAGUAGGGUGUUUGUCAUGGUGUUCUUGACUGUAAGUGAGACUUUCUCCUUAAUAUCUGCUCAUUUGAACUUCCUUCUGCGUAUCAGUUGGCUGCUGGUUGAUGGUAAAUAAACGACUACAACUAGAA